AAGCAGGGGAUCUUCGGACCUUGCGCUAAUAGAUGAGCCUAAGUCGGAUUAGCUAGUUGGUGGGGUAAAGGCCUACCAAGGCGACGAUCUGUAGCGGGUCUGAGAGGAUGAUCCGCCACACUGGGACUGAGACACGGCCCAGACUCCUACGGGAGGCAGCAGUGGGGAAUAUUGGACAAUGGGCGCAAGCCUGAUCCAGCCAUGCCGCGUGUGUGAAGAAGGCCUUUUGGUUGUAAAGCACUUUAAGCGAGGAGGAGGCUCCUUUAGUUAAUACCUAAAGUGAGUGGACGUUACUCGCAGAAUAAGCACCGGCUAACUCUGUGCCAGCAGCCGCGGUAAUACAGAGGGUGCGAGCGUUAAUCGGAUUUACUGGGCGUAAAGCGUGCGUAGGCGGCUUUUUAAGUCGGAUGUGAAAUCCCUGAGCUUAGCUUAGGAAUUGCAUUCGAUACUGGAGAGCUAGAGUAUGGGAGAGGAUGGUAGAAUUCCAGGUGUAGCGGUGAAAUGCGUAGAGAUCUGGAGGANAUNACCGAUGGCGAAGGCAGCCAUCUGGCCUAAUACUGACGCUGAGGUACGAAAGCAUGGGGAGCAAACAGGAUUAGAUACCCUGGUAGUCCAUGCCGUAAACGAUGUCUACUAGCCGUUGGGGCCUUUGAGGCUUUAGUGGCGCAGCUAACGCGAUAAGUAGACCGCCUGGGGAGUACGGUCNGCAAGACUAAAACUCAAAUGAAUUGACGGGGGCCCGCACAAGCGGUGGAGCAUGUGGUUUAACUCGAUGCAACGCGAAGAACCUUACCUGGCCUUGACAUACUAAGAACUUUCCAGAGAUGGAUUGGUGCCUUCGGGAACUUAGAUACAGGUGCUGCAUGGCUGUCGUCAGCUCGUGUCGUGAGAUGUUGGGUUAAGUCCCGCAACGAGCGCAACCCUUUUCCUUAUUUGCCAUCGGGUAAUGCCGGGAACUUUAAGGGUACUGCCAGUGACAAACUGGAGGAAGGCGGGGACGACGUCAAGUCAUCAUGGCCCUUACGGCCAGGGCUACACACGUGCUACAAUGGUCGGUACAAAGGGUUGCUACCUCGCGAGAGGAUGCUAAUCUCAAAAAGCCGAUCGUAGUCCGGAUCGCAGUCUGUAACUCGACUGCGUGAAGUCGGAAUCGCUAGUAAUCGCGGAUCAGAAUGCCGCGGUGAAUACGUUCCCGGGCCUUGUACACACCGCCCGUCACACCAUGGGAGUUUGUUGCACCAGAAGUAGGUAGUCUAACCGCAAGGAGGACGCUUACCACGGU
rnacentral:rRNA from 1 species